rnacentral:rRNA from 1 species
AUUGAACGCUGGCGGCAGGCCUAACACGUGCAAGUCGAGCGGAUGAAGGGAGCUUGCUCCUGGAUUCAGCGGCGGACGGGUGAGUAAUGCCUAGGAAUCUGCCUGGUAGUGGGGGAUAACGUCCGGAAACGGGCGCUAAUACCGCAUACGUCCUGAGGGAGAAAGUGGGGGAUCUUCGGACCUCAUGCUAUCAGAUGAGCCUAGGUCGGAUUAGCUAGUUGGUGGGGUAAAGGCCUACCAAGGCGACGAUCCGUAACUGGUCUGAGAGGAUGAUCAGUCACACUGGAACUGAGACACGGUCCAGACUCCUACGGGAGGCAGCAGUGGGGAAUAUUGGACAAUGGGCGAAAGCCUGAUCCAGCCAUGCCGCGUGUGUGAAGAAGGUCUUCGGAUUGUAAAGCACUUUAAGUUGGGAGGAAGGGCAGUAAGUUAAUACCUUGCUGUUUUGACGUUACCAACAGAAUAAGCACCGGCUAACUUCGUG